AACAUGUAUGUGUGAAUGUUACCAGUAACAAUAUAAAAUUUGUACAUUAAUGAAAUAAUGUUUUCUCUACUUUAGGAGUAUAGAAUAAGUCCCUCUUGUCUCUGCAAAGCCUGAGACGAUGAUCCGUUCUAGAAACCAUCACAGCUAUGUUUCCGUAAUUCAUUCCAGUAAUCAAGGAAUCAAACACAAAAACUACAACAAAGAAAACUUCCCAGCUGCAGCUGAUACAAACUGCUGCCUUCAGUCUGUUAACCAGGAGGAAGAAGAAGAGGUGAAAAUACAGAUCUAAGAGGAGACGGAGAGAUUCAGGGAGGAGCUGAGCUGUUACUGAACUAUAGAAGAGAGAGGAACUUCCAUAUUCAGCAGAGUUCAAUACACAAACCACAAACAUUACCUUUAUUCAACAUGCUGUCACUGGACUAUUAUGGGCUGUCUCUGAUGUUUCUCUCUAUUAUAGCAGGUGUCAGCUGUGAAGAACUCAGUCCAGUCAAGAAUGAAGAGUCCAGUUUAGAAGACAGCACUGUUACUCUGUCCUACACAUACUCCAAACAAGCAACUGGUAGUGAUUAUUUCUUCUGGUAUCGACAAUAUCCAGGAAAACCACCAGAGUUCCUCAUCUCUCACUCUGGAACAGGAACACCAAUAUCUGAUCCAGUCUCUAGACUGUCCUUCAACAUGAGUGAUGAUAAAACCAAAAUGCAUCUGCAGAUCUCCUCUGCUGCAGUGACAGACUCUGCUGUGUACUACUGUGCUGUGAGGCCCACAGUGACAGGAAACACCAAAACUCUGUACAAAAACCUUUGGAGCAAAGACAACACAAUACUCCACAACAUCCACUAGAGGGAGUCACACACCAUGAACCCAUUACAGUCUGAGCCAGUGUCACUGGACUGAUGACAAAUACAACAAAACAUCAACCAAUAAAGAUUCCACACAGAGCUGCUGUGACA